UACAGAGGGUGCAAGCGUUGUUCGGAAUUAUUGGGCGUAAAGGGCGCGUAGGCGGUGCUGUAAGUCUGUAGUGAAAUCUCUGGGCUCAACUCAGAGUCUGCUAUAGAAACUGCAGUGCUAGAGUGUGGGAGAGGUGAGUGGAAUUCCCAGUGUAGAGGUGAAAUUCGUAGAUAUUGGGAAGAACACCGGUGGCGAAGGCGGCUAUCUGGACCGUAACUGACGCUGAGGCGCGAAAGCGUGGGGAGCAAACAGG
rnacentral:rRNA from 1 species